rnacentral:rRNA from 1 species
GUGGGGAAUCUUCCACAAUGGACGAAAGUCUGACGGAGCGACGCCGCGUGAGUGAAGAAGGCCUUCGGGUCGUAAAGCUCUGUCAUCAGGGACGAACGGCCGGUGGAGUGGAAAGCCACCGGAUUGACGGUACCUGAGAAGGAAGCCACGGCUAACUACGUGCCAGCAGCCGCGGUAAUACGUAGGUGGCAAGCGUUGUCCGGAAUUAUUGGGCGUAAAGCGCGCGCAGGUGGGAUCUUAAGUCCAUUUUGAAAGUUCGGAGCUCAACUCCGUGAUGGGAUGGAAACUGGGAUUCUUGAGUACCGGAGAGGAAAGCGGAAUUCCCCGUGUAGCGGUGAAAUGCGUAGAUAUGGGGAGGAACACCAGUGGCGAAGGCGGCUUUCUGGACGGUGUCUGACACUGAGGCGCGAAAGCUAGGGGAGCGAACGGGAUUAGAAACCCUGGUAGUCC